rnacentral:rRNA from 1 species
UACGAAGGGGCUAGCGUUGUUCGGAAUUACUGGGCGUAAAGCGCACGUAGGCGGAUAUUUAAGUCAGGGGUGAAAUCCCAGAGCUCAACUCUGGAACUGCCUUUGAUACUGGGUAUCUGGAGUAUGGAAGAGGUGAGUGGAAUUCCGAGUGUAGAGGUGAAAUUCGUAGAUAUUCGGAGGAACACCAGUGGCGAAGGGCGGCUCACUGGCCCGGUACUGACGUCUGAGGUGCGGAAAGCGUGGGGAGCGAGUCCGG